AGGACGAACGCUGGCGGCGUGCUUAACACAUGCAAGUCGAACGGAAAGGCCCGCUUGCGGGUACUCGAGUGGCGAACGGGUGAGUAACACGUGGGCAACCUGCCCUCAGCUCUGGGAUAACACCGGGAAACCGGUGCUAAUACUGGAUAUCAACUUCUGUCCGCAUGGGUGGUUGUUGAAAGUUCUUCGGCUGGGGAUGGGCCCGCGGCCUAUCAGCUUGUUGGUGGGUAAUGGCCUACCAAGGCGACGACGGUA
rnacentral:rRNA from 1 species